AGUAACACGUGGGCAACCUGCCUGUAAGACUGGGAUAACUUCGGGAAACCGGAGCUAAUACCGGAUAAUCCUUUUCUACUCAUGUAGAAAAGCUGAAAGACGGUUUACGCUGUCACUUACAGAUGGGCCCGCGGCGCAUUAGCUAGUUGGUGAGGUAACGGCUCACCAAGGCGACGAUGCGUAGCCGACCUGAGAGGGUGAUCGGCCACACUGGGA
rnacentral:rRNA from 1 species